rnacentral:rRNA from 1 species
UUAGGAAUCUUGCGCAAUGGGCGAAAGCCUGACGCAGCCAUGCCGCGUGAAUGAUGAAGGUCUUAGGAUUGUAAAAUUCUUUCAGCGGGGAAGAUAAUGACGGUACCCGCAGAAGAAGCUCCGGCUAACUUCGUGCCAGCAGCCGCGGUAAUACGAAGGGGGCUAGCGUUGCUCGGAAUUACUGGGCGUAAAGGGCGCGUAGGCGGACAGUUAAGUCGGGGGUGAAAUCCCGGGGCUCAACCCCGGAACUGCCUUCGAUACUGGCUGUCUUGAGUUCGGGAGAGGUGAGUGGAAUGCCGAGUGUAGAGGUGAAAUUCGUAGAUAUUCGGCGGAACACCAGUGGCGAAGGCGACUCACUGGCCCGAUACUGACGCUGAUGCGCGAAAGCGUGGGGAGCAAACAGGAUUAGAUACCCCGGUAGUCC